rnacentral:rRNA from 1 species
UACGAAGGGGGCUAGCGUUGCUCGGAAUCACUGGGCGUAAAGCGCACGUAGGCGGAUUGCUAAGUCAGGGGUGAAAUCCUGGAGCUCAACUCCAGAACUGCCUUUGAUACUGGCAAUCUCGAGUCCGGGAGAGGUGAGUGGAACUGCGAGUGUAGAGGUGAAAUUCGUAGAUAUUCGCAAGAACACCAGUGGCGAAGGCGGCUCACUGGCCCGGUACUGACGCUGAGGUGCGAAAGCGUGGGGAGCAA